rnacentral:piRNA from 1 species
UGCCGAUUCCGCUGAUGUCCGGAAAGAGU